rnacentral:rRNA from 1 species
AUGAAGAAGAUCUUGUUCAGCAUGUUCUAUUCGAUACUGGUAGGAGAAGAACCCGACUCGGUAUUCUUAAAAAAAGAGGGGAAGCAGAACCAAGUCAAGAUGAUAUGGGUCGCCCCUUCUUCUUGUGCCAAAGAUCUUACCAUUUCCGAAGGAACUGGGGCUACAUUUCUUUUCAAUUUCCAUUCAAGAGUUUCUAUAUGUUUCCACGCCCUUUUCUUGAGACCUCGAAACAUGAGGAGACAUUACUUCUCUCUAAAGUCAACGAUUUCUGCAAUCAGGGAGGAGGCAUGGCCUUACUUGCUAUACCUUAAACCUCAUCAAGAAAGUAAGCCCAGCGAAACCGCAAUCCCAAUCAAAAAAUAUUUGCAGCAGCUAAUGAGCUGA